rnacentral:lncRNA from 1 species
CCGCAGCUCCCCCUUCCCUCCCCGGCUGCCGCAAGCAGCGCCCCGCAGCGCGGUGCCGGCCCGGGGACGGGGGGGGGGGGUCUCGGGGGCAGCUCCCCAGCACCACCGGCUGUGGUUUGGGGAAGGGGAUUUUCUGUGCUCCACACCGGGGGCGAGCCCCCGGGUCCGGCUCUGGCCAUAGAUGGGGCUGAGGGAGAGCGAGGGGUGCUGCAGGGGGACGCUUGGCACCAUGGAAGUGGAGCCUCCAGUACCCCGAACUGGGGCAGCCGCUGGGCUGAGCCACAGCUCGUCCACACAGCGGAAAAAAUGCCGCGUUCCCCGAGCCUCCGACCGCGGGGAGCUGAUCUGCAGGGCCAUGGCCAGAGAUAUCCGAAGGGCAGGUGGGGAAACUGAGGCACGGUGCCUGCGGAGCUGGGCCGGCUGCGGAGCCAGCCGAGCUGCCGGCAGCAGCAGGGCAGCCUCGCCGCGCUCAGGCUGAUGCUCGGUGAAGUGGCUUUGGCUCUGCAAACAACCCCCCCUCCCCACCCCCCCCCAAGUGCACGGUUUUAUCAGCUGGAAAGGCAAAUAAACGCAGGGCGCAGGGGAGCUGAGCUUCCGCAGCCUGUGCACGGGCCCGGCAGGACUUUGCGCACAGCCGGACCUCCAGGCAGCAAAAACGCCCCAAAUGCAGCGGGCUGAGGUCUGCGCAGGCUGCAGACUGCCUGUGGGACUGCAGCGUGAGGGGGCAGACGUGGUGGGGUGUGCUUCUGCCAGCCCCAGGAGGAAGCCGAGCGGGGACCCACAUGCAGAGCUCCCAUGUCCCGCUGCUCCCAGCUUGGCUGGAGGCGCAGCUACGUUCCCACAUCCCUCCCCUGCCCAUACGUCUGCCCCUGGGGAGAUCUGUUCGCCUCCUCCUUCCUCGCUCCGUCGUUAAUCUCUUCCUACACGGGGGCAGGUUUCCUGCCCGUGCCGAGCAGGCCUGUUUGCCGCCGCCAGCUGACGCAGCGCUCAGGAAUUCGCGGGGUGGCUGGCAGCACAUCGGGACUUGUCCCCGCGUGCGGUGCCGCGCGGCCACAUCCCCGCCAGGCCCAGGAAGCAACACUGGAAGUGAGGCAAGCCUGGGAAAAGGAAACGAAGCCGCGGGAUGCUCCGGAGGGUUGGAGGGCUCCAAUGGCACCGAGGGGAACGGGAUGAGGAUGCUGCCCAGAAAAUACCUUUAUUCACUGAUCAGACAGCGCCUUAAUUUUGUCAAUUUUAAAUAG